rnacentral:misc_RNA from 1 species
AUUCAGUCGGUUCGACGUUUGUGAUGUGAGCAUGUGGAGUGUGCUUAUUUUAUUUCGGAAUAUUUAACUCAAUGUGAUCGAAAAUGACCGACAACAUAGUUGAGGACUGGUUGAAGUCCAUUAAUUUGGAAAUAUACACCGAGGCGUUCAUUGAUAACGGUUAUGACGAAUUGGAAGUCUGCAAGCAGAUCGGGAAGCCUGACUUGGAUGCAAUUGGUGUCACCGAUGAAACUCACCGACAGAUCAUUCUGCAGGCUGUGACCAAAAUCAAAGAAGAGGGGGCCACGUCUGUGUAUUUUACUCUAGAGUCCGCCGAAGUGGCUGUCAUUGAUGCAAAUCUGACCGAAAAACAAGGACCAUCCAAUCGCCGAAACUCGGCCAAUGUUGAACCUGUUAGGGCCCCCUCCCGAGUGUCUUGUACGGGAGGGGGAGGGCCUGGGCCCGAGGAGAUGGUGACAAUUUACCCCCGGGCACAACUUAGAAUGAUUGUCAGGGAUAAAUUAGUACAGGACAACAUUGAUUUGUUAAGUCCACCUUACACACGAAGAGACUGGACUCCCUGUCACUCCAGCCUGAUGACCUUGGCAGCUAAGUACGCCAUUCAGUUAAGGACACGCUCGAGUGAUGUGGUGGAGAGGCUGGAAGAACUGAGGCAGUGGGUGCUACAGAAGGAUCUCCACUCGCACUACACAGGCAGUUCCUACCUCACCCUCGUCAUGCUCGUCUGGGACCCCCAGUCCUGGGUGUUCAAACCUCACCCCCCAUCAUGUGCCCUUCCAGGGUAGCAUACCCCCAGCACUUCCCAACUGUCCCCCUCCCUCUACUAGUCAUAUGGAUGGAGACAGACUUGUAAAAGUUCACACCUUUAAUUCCAGACAAGAUGCGAGUCUUUACCAGGCUAACUACAUGACCAUCGGAUCUUCCGGUUUUUGUUGUCUCCCCUUAACUUCCAGUAGAGAUGGACAAGAUGGAGACAAGAUGAAGAAAACAUCCUCCUUGGGGAGAUUUUUCCGGAACAUGGGUAUCAGACGGUCGGGGAAGAAAAACCAGUACAAGCCUCAUGAUGAUAUCACCAUGAGCGAUGAGGACAGGAAGGCAUUGAUGAUGAUGGUCAAAGAUGGAGCCCUAACCACAGAACAGGCCAUGGCCAUGGUAAAACAGUAUGAAGAGGAGAGGCGAAGGGAAUGGCAUCAACAACAGGGCAACCAUAAAGGAACUCAGAAGAAAAAGAAGCAAGGAGGCAAACCCGUGAAAUCGCCCUCGGCAUCUUACUAUGACAUAGUCACAAGAUGUCAGGUCUGCCAACGCUUUCUGUCUAACGAUCCCAGCAAAUCCUCGCCCAACUUCUGCAGCGAUCCUAGUCAUCGCUUUGAUUGCUACCAACAUCGCAGGGUACACAGUGUCAGUCAUAUCGAAUUCAACCCUCCUUCAUCAAAAUCACCCGAGGCCGCCCGCGCCAUGUCAUGUACCCCGACACGAGGCUUCUACAGCUCCUCCGAAGUUCACUCACCCGUCACUUUCUACUCACCCGGUCAUCCACGACUAUACUCCCCUGUUUUUCCUCACGAGGGGGGUAAAGUUUACAACACUGGCAGCCUGUGUUAUGGCCAGCAUGGAAACUACUCUUAUACCCCUUCCUUCCACGAGUCCCCAUCAGCCAUGUCAAGCUUUUCUAUGGAGUCGGAACAUUCCAUGGAGUGCCAGUCCAAUGCCCUGACCCCUGGGGAACUCGCGGCUACAAGGGGAGAUAACUGGAACUACAGCACCUACUCCAGUGCCAUGUCGACCGGUUCAGACACGUCGCCUGCCAUUGGCUGGAGAAAAAAUUCCGAAGGAGGAGACCCAAUGAAAAUGCAGAAGGUGCGUAACCAGUCUGGGACCAAUAAAUCGGUUAGCUCUGUCGAUAGUUCCCAGAGUGGGGGAUCGGGGAACAUGUCCGCUCACAGUGCUAGUCCGGGGAGUGGCAAGAGUCACUCGUCGAUGGAGGCUGAGGGGGUGGGGGGUAUCCAUGACAACAGCACCUCCUCACUUGUCAGGGUCCUCACCGACUACUCACCGUCCAAGUCCGAAGUAGACAUGCUACACAUCAAGAAAGGAGACAUUAUUUGGGUUGCCACAAGAACUGCGGGGGGACUGUGGAAGGGAGUGCUAAGUGGGAGAACGGGUUGGUUCAGACCCUCCCACACAGAGCCCUGUAGUCACGGCAACGGGGAGGGAACCCAGAGGAGGACCCCGAACCCCCGGAGAACCCCCAGAAAAACUAAACCCAGGACUGUGGAGGAGCUUUUGUAUAGGAUAGGCCUAGAGAGCCUAGAAAAAGUCUUUCUGGAGAAUGGAUUUGAGCACUUGGACAACUUUGCCGACCUGAAUGAGAGUGACUUGGACGCCCUUGAAAUCAUGGACCCUCAGCAGAGAGCCAAGCUUUUAACAGCGGCAGAGUUACUCUGUAGUGCAGAAGAUGAUGAGUUUCCAGAAAUGGGGACCCCAAACGGAUUGCCGAAUCAUGCAGGGUACUGUUAUUCACCUAGACUGAUGACGAUCAACGACUGUCACCACCGGGUCUGCCCGGGGAGUAGGGACUCUGGUUGCUUUGGCAGCUGUGAACAUUUGGGUCACAAGGAGGUUUUUAACAAACAAGGCUACAUGAUCUCGUCAAAGAACCAAACUAGUCGUGUGUCUCCGCUUCAGUAUAAUAAGGAAAACUUGCAGCCUGUGAAUCAGAAUCGGACUGUGGGGGAUAUUCGAUAUGUCUGCAGUCGACCGGCUAACAGCAGCGGGAGGGGGAGUGCCAGCAGUGGACGGACCAGUGUGGAAAAUUGUGGAGGGGAGAGUCAGACGUCGGACAUGGAGCGCAGUGACAGAGACUUUACGGAGGAGGACCGGGAGGUGUGUGAAAUCAACCGCGCCAUCCAGAGGAGUGACCCUCCCUGUGUUCAUCCUGGGGAACACGUUACUCCACAGGCAGAGGAUAAUUCUGUGUUUGGAGACCUUAAUGUUCUCAUGUGUUCAAAUGCUGCCACACAGACCUCUUCCCAUUGUGAGUCGACGGACCAAAGGUGCUCUAAGUUUGCCAUUCAGGCGAACAGUCUUUCUAAUGGUGCUACCGAGUGUGAGAGGUCCAAACCGUUUCCUAGUAAGGUUGUGAACAAGUCCAAAAACACUAAACAGGAUGCUCAGGUUCAAGUGAUGUGUCCGUUUGGGCCUCUCUCACUGGUUCAUGAAGGAAAUCAGAGACAAGACUGUGUUCAGAAACAGCGGGGCUCAACGGGGGGUUCCUCCGAUUCGACCCCUACUGGGGAACUACAGGGGAGAGCCCAGUCUUCUCUAGGUGCCAUAUCAAGUCAAGGGGGACAAGUGCAAUACAGUGACAAGAAAGUGCCAAACAACAGACCGCAGUCUGUGGACAGUUCUAGACAGGUUCCAUCGCCCAAAGACUUCAGGAAUGUUAAGAAAUCCUUAGUAUCACUAGUCACAGCCAAGUUGGCGGACGAGAAGAUCAACCUCUCCCAAGAACCUUAUUCCACUAAGCUUGGAGAGUGCCGGAUUCCUCCACCUCUUAUCCAAAGAUACUCUGAGGAACUCAAGCAUGACGUGACCAGUGUGUGCACUGUACUGGAACAGGUGCGAGUGCACUCGCUCACCACCCAGCAUAGACCUGUGAUACAAAUGGAAAACCUAGCUGAUAAAUGCUCUCUAGGUGCCGAGCUCAAAACCUCGUCCAUUCCUGAUUUCUUCAUUUCCAUUGGCCUUCCUAUGUAUAUCAGUACUGUGAUUGGUCAGAACUACAAAUAUUUAGAGCAGCUUUACAAAUUGACCAAUCAGGAGAUUCGUGACAUUACGGGCGCUCCUCACAAGCAUGCCAAGAGAAUUUCUCACGCUCUCACUUGGGUGAAAAAGAAGAUGACCGCACAAAUUGGCUCUGACGAAUCUGGUCUGAUAGAUCGAGUGUAGAAUAUAUCAAAUGUUGGUCCAGUUUUAGCUUAAAAUCUUGUGUUUACUAUUUUUCAUGAAAAUUUGGUGCAAUCUUAUAUGUAUUUUAUAUUAUUUUACGCAAAAUAUAUGCCAGGGCAAUUUGUUUUUAGAUAUUCGACAGACACAUUUGUCAUUUGCAUGUACCAUUUUAUUAAAUGUUUUAUUAAAUGUGUUUUACUGAGUACCUAUUAUAUCCAUAUUAUUAAAAACAAAACUACAGAUGCUUUCAGUGUUUAAAAAAACUUGUUUUAAACGAUACAUUUUAAUGAAUGUACUGUACUUGUAUAAAUUAUUACACAAUUUUUAUAAAAUUACUAUGUGGGUGGAAAAGUUAUGGUACAUGUACAUGUAGUUUGAAACCUGUGAUUUUGAUUUUGAUUUUUUUUUUUUGCUUUGAAAUGCAAGAAAUUCAAACUUGUGUAUAGAACAUAAUGAUGGUUGUAACUUAAUUUGGUCCAUGUGUGAAGAAUGUCAUAAUCACACACAGUUAUACUAUGUUGAUGAAAUGUAGAUUUGAGUUUAAUUUAUGAUGGCUGUAAGCCAAAGACGUUUGUUGUUUAUAUCCCUUUUUGUUUCUGUUAAACAGUUUACGAACAUAAAUAAAAAGUGGGACAUAAU